GACGAACGCUGGCGGCGUGCUUAACACAUGCAAGUCAAACGGUAACAGCAGAGCUUGCUCUGGCUGACGAGUGGCGGACGGGUGAGUAAUGCAUGGGAAUCUGCCCUAAAGUGGGGGACAACCUGGUGAAAACCAGGCUAAUACCGCAUAAUAUCUUCGGAUGAAAGGCUUCGGCCGCUUUUGGAUGAGCCCAUGUCUGAUUAGCUUGUUGGUGAGGUAAAAGCUCACCAAGGCAACGAUCAGUAGCUGGUCUGAGAGGACGAUCAGCCACACUGGGACUGAGACACGGCCCAG
rnacentral:rRNA from 1 species